rfam:Spinacia oleracea cultivar SynViroflay scaffold15887.con0003.1, whole genome shotgun sequence.
CUGGGUUCACUUUAAUUGAGGUUAAAAUGGUGCUAAUACAAAAUGGGCAUUGUUAAUAAAUGUGAAUCCAAAAGUGAUUUGUUCCCCUCGCUAUCCAGUGUAGAUUUUUUAUGCUGCAUUUGGACGUUGGGUAACUACAUUU